GCUAAACACGUGUACGUGACCAAUAACAUUUUAUUUGAUUAUAAGGGAAUCAGUCAAUUUAAAUAAAUGCAUUAGGCCCUAAUCUAUUGAUUUCACAUGGCUGGGCAGGGGUGCAGCCAUGGGUAGGCUUGGGGAGCCAGGCCCAGCUAAUCAGAAUGAGUUUUUCCCACAAAAAGGGCUUUAUGAUAAACAGAAAUACUCCUCAGUUUCAUCAGCUGUCUGGGUGACUGGUCUCAGACAAUCCUGCAGGUGAAGUAGCUGGAUGAGGAGGUCCAGGGCUGGAGUGGUUACACGUGAACUGCAGUUGUGAGGCCGGUUGGACAUCCUGCAAAAUUCUCUAACAUUAUUAAUAUUAAAUUCUCUGGCAACAGCUCUGGUAGGCAUUCUUGCAGUCAGCAUGCCAAUUGCACACUCCCUCAAAACUUGAGACAUCUGUGGUAUUGGGUUGUAUGACAAAACUGCACAUUUAUUGUCUGCAGCACAAGGUGCACCUGUGUAAUGAUCAUGCUGUUUAAUCAGCUUCUUGAUAUGCCACACCUGUCAAGUGGAUGCGUUAACUUGGCAAAGGAUAAAUGCUCACUUACAUGGAUGUAAACAAAUUAGUGCACAAAAUUUGAGCAAAAUAAGCUUUUGGUGCGUAUGGAACUUUUUAAAAUAUAUUUUAUUUCAGUUCAUGAAAUGGGACCAACACUUUACAUGUUGGGUUUAUAUAUUUUUUUCAGUAUAGGUAGGUCGUGAAUGGUCUCUCUCCAGUACAGUAGGUGGCAGUGUAUGCUCCGCCAAAGCAAUCCAAAAGAAGAAGUAUUUUUGUCCUCGUCUGGGGCGGCAAACGAGCGAAGUGGAGCUCCUUUUUAAAAACUUUUGUUCAAACCUUACAUGUUGCUGUGUAUUGACUAAAGGAGAUGAUUCGCAUGGAUGGAAAUGACCGAAACCAAUGUGGUUCAGCAUAUCUCAACGAGUCCGGUGUCCUUGAAGUCGAGAUGCAUGCUGACAAAGAAUUGUUGGAGAGAAGUUUCCAAAGCCAUCUGUUUGAACCCCCAGGAGGUGAUGCCCCUCUGUGCUCCUCUUCAGCCCAGUGGGUUCUGACUCAUCAGUUGAUGCACUUCCUCUCUUGUGUUAGGUUUUGUACCACUUCCUGGUUCCAACGCUUGUCCUGAUGGAGUGAAGGAGCAGAAUCAAACUAACCGUUGAUGUUUUGACUGAUGUAUAUUCAUAGAAAUAGAUUAAAUGUAAUCUAUAGUGGUGUAUUGUCAUCAGGAGAACCAUUUGUCAAAGAUUCAGUGAAGUAUGAUAUUAUCCACUUACUCAAGGAGAAGGUAGCAAGCUAUAAGCAUGAGAAUGCUCUUGCAGGGGGCUCUGUAAUGCUCAUAUCACAUUUGUAUGAAUGUAUUUCUGGAAUAUACUGUUCUCUUAGUGGCGUAAACUAAUGUGGCACGAUGUCAGAACUAUUUUGCCUUACAUUUGUCCAUGAUUCAUCAAUAAAACUAGUAAACAAACUUGUAUCCAUGUCAAUCUAUUCCUUUUUAUUACAGCGAACA
rnacentral:lncRNA from 1 species